AAAAAUUAAUUUACGCCGCAGACAGCAAGUGGAAUUUUUCCUUAAUUUCUUGCCGAGGUAGUAAGAACAAAGUCAUAAUUUUGUAUUUUGUCCUUGUGCCGCGCGGUGCAAGGUUUUUUUAUUG
rnacentral:sRNA from 1 species